rnacentral:rRNA from 2 species
GUCGAACGAGGUUUGAUCAGUUUGCGGUGGUGCUUGCAUCACCAAUUACCGAUUAAACCGAGUGGCGGACGGGUGAGUAACACGUGGGUAACCUGCCCUUCAGCAGGGGAUAACAUUUGGAAACAGAUGCUAAUACCGUAUAACCACGGAGACCGCAUGGUCUCCGGGUAAAAGAUGGCGAAAGCUAUCACUGAGGGAUGGACCCGCGGCGUAUUAGCCAGUUGGUGGGGUAAUGGCCUACCAAAGCGAUGAUACGUAGCCGACCUGAGAGGGUAAUCGGCCACAUUGGGACUGAGACACGGCCCAAACUCCUACGGGAGGCAGCAGUAGGGAAUCUUCCACAAUGGACGCAAGUCUGAUGGAGCAACGCCGCGUGAGUGAAGAAGGCUUUCGGGUCGUAAAACUCUGUUAUUGAAGAAGAACGUGUGUGAGAGUAACUGCUCAUGCAGUGACGGUAUUCAACCAGAAAGUCACGGCUAACUACGUGCCAGCAGCCGCGGUAAUACGUAGGUGGCAAGCGUUGUCCGGAUUUAUUGGGCGUAAAGCGAGUGCAGGCGGUUUUUUAAGUCUGAUGUGAAAGCCUUCGGCUUAACCGAAGAAGUGCAUCGGAAACUGGGAAACUUGAGUG